CACUCGUUUUAUCCUAUCCGAUGUCCCUACCGCGUCCAACCCACGACUCUUGUGUCCAGGGCGUAGCUGUGAAGAGAAUAGGAGUUAUUUUCAAGGUCUCAAGAAAGGGAAAAGGCGCACUACUUUGCAAGGCUACUAAGAUCAAAGAGUCACUCUUCCCUCUGAGGGCGGAGAACGCGGAGGGAUUCUUCAGACACACCUCGUUUCCGGUGUCAGCUUGGGGGGCGGGGAGAGAAGUCUUUCAGCCCAAGGAAGGUCUUUAUUGUGAUGUCCGAGGCCGCCUGGUUAUCGCGCGAGAUGCUUGUGGAGAGCGAGCGUCGAGCUGAUUGGUUAGUCUUGAUGCAGUUCCGUGAAGACAUUUUUUGUUAAACUGGUAGCCGUCACUCUCCCAAUUCUGUAACUGCCGGGAGUAUCGUAACCACUUCCCAGCGCGUCCGCAUAAUAGCACUAAUGGGGGAGAAGCUUGAGAACCCAAGCCCACUCGCGGAAGUUCACGUUUGGAAGCAGCAGUUCAGGUCAAGGCCUGCAACUUGCUCUCCAGUGGGGAGCUGUGAAGGGGGCCAAGGAAAGAACUCAGGUCUUCUGAUCGUGGACUCCCCACUCCACAUCUUCCUUACAUCAUCCUGCUUCCUCAGAGGCCGCCUAUUCUUGACGAGGAUGAAACCAGCAACAACUGGUACAUGCAAAGCACACUGCUUACUGGGACAAGAACGGUCUCUCUACUGCCUUGGAGGAUCACAAAUGUCAGGAUAUAACAAAGUUGUCUGAUCCUUAUCUCUGAACCAUUACACAAGUCUUCCAUGGUGUAACUAAGGACCCACGGGGUACGUCCUCCUUUUCCUGUAUCAGGAGACCUACCAGUGCCUCCUUAUGGACGACCAUGCGGAAGGUUGAGAAUUAAAGAAAGUAACAUUGUCCCAGUUUUGACAUCUCAGAGCCACAGAUGAUUGACUCCAGUGGCAGCUUGUCCCAUCCGUUCUAUCAUGGAGACCCAGAUCAAGCACUUCAAAGGUUCUCCUGGCUGAAAAUGAAGAAGCAGGAUUAUUCCUGUAAGAAAAUGUUUCAUACCACACACAGAAGUCAAAGCUCUUGGAAAGGAGACGUUUAUUUUUUUCUCUCUAUGCGGUGCAAGGUCCUCAUGUUCCCCAGCUUUAUUUCCUCCCUAAGGAGAAAAAAGAUAGCAGUUCUCCAGGUCUCGGGGCUAAGCUGCUUCCAUGUGGACCUAGCAAAGGUGGGACAGGGCUGGUGAUAGAUCCCAGAUCUACCAGCUGAGUGCAUUCACUGCUGCUGAAGGGCAGGCAAGUGACUGGAAGGCAAGUAGUGGACUCAGCCUCAGGGACCAAGAAUUUAAAGACUCCAAGGUGAUCAGAAUGAAAAGGUAAACAUGCUGGACAGUUAGCCUCAGAAUCAACAGUGUGUAAAAGAGCCAUAGCCUGACAGUCCUAGUGCUAGGUGUCCUUACUAUUCUCUUUGGCCUUGAUUUUUAGCAGGAAGGGCAGAGUGUUAACCAAUCCUGUGAGCAGUUUUCAGCCAGGGUCACAGUAUCAAGGAAGUGUGCCAUUGCAAAGGACUAAGACACGUGGGGGGGGGGGGCUAUAUGCCUAUAUGCAUAACUCCUCCUGGGCCCUCUCCAGGACAUUGUGAUCCUGAAGCUGAUUCCUUACCAAAACCAUGUGAGUUCUCAGGGGGCACCUGGAUGGCUCAGUCAGUCAAAUGGCUGGCUCUUAACCUCAGGGUCCUGA